GUGGGGAAUAUUGCGCAAUGGGGGCAACCCUGACGCAGCAACGCCGCGUGCGGGAUGACGGCCUUCGGGUUGUAAACCGCUUUCAGCAGGGAAGAUAAUGACGGUACCUGCACAAGAAGCCCCGGCUAACUACGUGCCAGCAGCCGCGGUAACACGUAGGGGGCGAGCGUUAUCCGGAUUCAUUGGGCGUAAAGCGCGCGCAGGCGGGCAUCUAAGCGGGACCUCUAAUCUCGGGGCUCAACCUCGAGCCGGGUCCCGAACUGGGUGCCUCGGGUGCGGUAGGGGAGGUCGGAAUUCCCGGUGUAGCGGUGGAAUGCGCAGAUAUCGGGAAGAACACCGACGGCGAAGGCAGACCUCUGGGCCGUCACCGACGCUGAGGCGCGAAAGCUAGGGGAGCGAACAGG
rnacentral:rRNA from 1 species